ACCUGGGUGGCUUAGUUGGUUAGGUGUCUGGCUUUGGCUCAGGUCAUGAUCUCACAGUUCGUGGGUUCAAGCCCCACGUCAGGCU
rfam:Felis catus isolate Cinnamon breed Abyssinian chromosome B2, whole genome shotgun sequence.